GACGAACGCUGGCGGCGUGCUUAACACAUGCAAGUCGAACGGAAAGGCCCUGCUUUUGUGGGGUGCUCGAGUGGCGAACGGGUGAGUAACACGUGAGUAACCUGCCCUUGACUUUGGGAUAACUUCAGGAAACUGGGGCUAAUACCGGAUAGGAGCUCCUGCUGCAUGGUGGGGGUUGGAAAGAUUCGGCGGUUGGGGAUGGACUCGCGGCUUAUCAGCUUGUUGGUGGGGUAGUGGCUUACCAAGGCUUUGACGGGUAGCCGGCCUGAGAGGGUGACCGGCCACAUUGGGACUGAGAUACGGACCAGACUCCUACGGGAGGCAGCAGUGGGGAAUAUUGCACAAUGGGCGGAAGCCUGAUGCAGCAACGCCGCGUGCGGGAUGACGGCCUUCGGGUUGUAAACCGCUUUCGCCUGUGACGAAGCGUGAGUGACGGUAAUGGGUAAAGAAGCACCGGCUAACUACGUG
rnacentral:rRNA from 1 species